rnacentral:siRNA from 1 species
UUUAGAUCGAUAUUAAUACAAGAU